CCAGUGGCAUACAUUGAUCUACUAUAAGUUUUUUUGAUGAAAGGGGAACACCAAGGUAUUUAAAAGGUAGUCCUUCUUCUCUAUAGCCCAGAUAGUCAAGGAUAUAUUGCUUUACCUGAUGUUUGGCACCUAAGAAAUAAACUGAACUCUUAUUAAUAUUUCCUGUAAACCUAAAGCCCUAAAAAACCUAUAAAAAUCCCCCUGAAUGAGUGUGACUAAAUUGAGAUCAGCUUUGCAGAAUAAGAGUAAGUCAUUUUUAAAGCAGAUGUGCUUAAUUCUAAAAAAAAUUCAUCUAGGGUGGUAUUGAAAGACUUUGUCCUUGUCCAUCCAGUUCAGUUCCCUAUUUAAGUACUCCAUAGCUAUUAUAAAAAGGUAAGGUGACAUAGAUCACCUUGACCUAUGCCUCUCCC
rnacentral:lncRNA from 1 species